rnacentral:lncRNA from 1 species
AUGACUCAGCUCUCCCAGUAUUCCAUCUCGUGGGAUGGGCACAGGACCAGAAGGAGCCUGGGUUCUAAAUGAGCCUCUGUUUUCUCAUAUGUGGAACAGAAUUAAUGUUUAUAUCCUAUAUUGCUGUGAGAUCAGUUAAGGAAAUCUAUGGAAGGGCUUUGAAAACAGCGUUUUAAAAAUGAAGUCCUUAAAAGGAAGAAAUCGGUUUCAGGAUGCAACUCACAGGUCCAUUCCAGAAGGUCAGGAGGUGCAGACGAGUUGAGCUGUUGACUCAGCUGAGAUUACACCCUGGAAGACCAGGCAAGACUGUGUCACUCUAUCGUCACUCUGGCAAAGCAACCAAACCUCAGAAAGACCCCUCCCUUGUUUCUUCCCUCCUUUUCUAACCUGCACAAAUGUUUACUGAUGCUUUCUGGGUGCUGGCACUGUGCUGGUCCUGAGGACAUGGAGGUGAACAAGCAGACACAGCACUCUCUCUUAGGAAGAUGGCACUCCAGCGGCUGACACAGGCAUUAAACUGACAAUUUCACACAGAACCUUGGGAUUACAAUCGUGGUACUAAUGCCAUUGCUCAGUCUAAAAACCUUCAUAUACCCCCUCAAAAAUGACAUCUUAAAAAUCGCUGUUUAUGUUUUUAUUCUAUUUUUCUUAGACAUGCUCCUAACAUCGUCCUGCUUAAGUGCACGCAUCUUUUCAAGUGCAGCUAACUUACAGCCCAAGACAGAGGUCUGAUUUUUACAGAAGCUCCAAGAACUUCAUGGAGUUUUGUCCUCAAAGCAGACAGGGACGUGGGGCAGCUGCAGGAGAACGGGAGGAGGAGAGAGGCCAGACGGUGCUGGGGCGCGUGCAGAACGAGCGGGUGCCCACCCCAGGGCCCCGCCUUGUGUCUGUGACUCUGGUCUCUAAAGGCUGGCUGUGGAGUGAGACCACGUCAUUCAUUUUCAGCUGGCUUAUCUCCCUCUUGGUUUAUUUGUAGAAAGUUUCCGAAGCGUAUCUGUGAACCCUUAUUCCAUGGGAUGUCAACAAGUGUUACACACACACACACCAAAAAAAAAACAGAAAAAACAACUAUCCACAGUCAAAUAAGCUUCUUUACUGCAGAAUUCUCAGGAAUUCUAGAAUCCCAGGCACACUGCGAAUCAGCACGAGAGGAACCCUG